GAUGAACGCUGGCGGCGUGCCUAAUACAUGCAAGUCGAGCGAACAGAUAAGGAGCUUGCUCCUUUGACGUUAGCGGCGGACGGGUGAGUAACACGUGGGUAACCUACCUAUAAGACUGGAAUAACUCCGGGAAACCGGGGCUAAUGCAGGAUAACAUGUUGAACCGCAUGGUUCUACAGUGAAAGGCGGCUUUGCUGUCACUUAUAGAUGGACCCGCGCCGUAUUAGCUAGUUGGUGAGGUAACGGCUCACCAAGGCAACGAUACGUAGCCGACCUGAGAGGGUGAUCGGCCACACUGGAACUGAGACACGGUCCAGACUCCUACGGGAGGCAGCAGUAGGGAAUCUUCCGCAAUGGGCGAAAGCCUGACGGAGCAACGCCGCGUGAGUGAUGAAGGUCUUCGGAUCGUAAAACUCUGUUAUUAGGGAAGAACAAAUGCGUAAGUAACUGUGCGCGUCUUGACGGUACCCAAUCAGAAAGCCACGGCUAACUACGUG
rnacentral:rRNA from 1 species